AUGGCGGCGUCGACCGACAAGGUGGAGUUCGGCACCGGAGCGGCGGCGGCGGCGGCGCCCAAGCAAGAGCCGUCGUGGGAGUACCACCUGCGGAAGUACCUCAUGCUGCUGGCCACGCUGGUGGCCACGGCGACGUACGCGGCCGGGCUCAGCCCGCCAGGGGGAGUCUGGCAGGAGUCCGGGCGCGACGGAGAAGGACGCUCCCACGAGGCCGGCGACCCGGUCCUCUACCACUCUGCCCGGUACCUCGCCUUCUUCUACUUCAACGCGACCGCCUUCGCGGCGUCGCUCGUCGUCAACCUCCUCCUCCUCGUGCUCAACGAGAGGCGGACGGCGUGGCUCGCCGUGCUCCGGUUCGUCAUGGUGCUGGACCUGCUCGGCCUCAUGGGGGCCUUCGCCACCGGGAGCUGCGAGGACCUGCCGACCACCGUAUACGUCUCCACGCUGGUCGUCGCUCUCGCCGCCUACGUCGGCAUCCACAUCCUCCUGGCCACCUACGCGCCAUCGGAGGCCGGCCAGACCUCCCCCUCGCAAGUGGUGGUGCGCGAGAAGGAGAGACCCGAUGACGCGCUCAAGCUCAAAGAGCAGCGCAAGGUGCUGCUGCUGCUCGCGACGUUCGCGACCGGCAUCUCGUACGCCGCCGGCCUGAACCCGCCCGGUGGCUUCCUUGGCGAAACCGAGGGCAGACACGAAGCUGGCGACCCGAUGCUGAAGGUCCACCAGUUGGCUCGUCUGAUGGCCUUCUUCUACUGCAACGCCACGGCGUUCGUCGCGUCGCUGCUCAUCAUCGUGCUGCUCCUGGGACGACGGCUGCAGAGGUACUACGCCGACUUGCAGAUGUACGGGUUCAUCCUCGUCGUGCUGCUCGGCCUCCUGGGCGCCUACGCCGCCGGGAGCUCGAGGAAGGCCGACACGACGGCCUACGUCGUCGUUCUCGUCGCCGCGGUCCUCGUGUACAUCCUCCUCGUGAUGGUGGUCAUGGUGCUCGUCCCGGAUCCUCUCAAGAGCAGCGGCUCCUGGCUAAGACUCAAGAGCAUCUCCGCGCGCGCGUCGCACUGGCUGCAAGAACGCGGGUGCCACCAGAACCAGACCGAAAGUCAAAGCUCAUCGCCGGCGCGUGAGUUGCUGGCAACAUCAGGCGGCGGGUGGCAAGGGAGCCUCGCCGACGAGGUGAACACGGGCAACAAGAACGAAGGCAUCGAGAAGGCCAAAUCUCUGAUUCUGCUGCUCGCCACUCUCGCCGCCACCAUCACUUACCAAGCGGGGAUGGACCCGCCCGGCGGCGUGUGGCAAGAAGCUGACGAGCAAGGGCGCUACAAGGCCGGCGACCCGAUCCUCCUGUUCAAGCACGCUGCUCGGUACAAGGCGUUCUUCUACUGCAACUCCACCGCGUUCGUCGCGUCCUUGGUCGUCAUCCUCAUGGUCCAGAACAAGAGCCUGAUGAGCGGGCACGUGCUGGAGGUGGCCAUGAUACUGGACCUGUUUGGCCUCAUCGGCGCGUACGCCGCCGGGAGCUGCCGAGAGGUGAGCACCUCCAUCUACGUCGUGGCCUUGGCGGGCGCCGUCCUGGUGUACGUGGUCAUCCAUGUCGUCUUCUUCACCCUCGACAACGAGGACCUGAGCAACGAGGAGAAGAGGAGGAUCGACAAGCGGCGCAAGCGGCUGCUGCUCCUGGCCAUCCUGGUGGCCACCAUCACCUACCAGGCCGGGCUCACCCCGCCGGGCGGCUUCUGGACCAAAGAUGGCCCCAAAUACAGUGCGGGUUCCCCAGUCCUCGAAGACCACGACGAGUACCGGAGAAGGUACCUGGCGUUCUUCUACUUCAACUCGACGAGCUUCAUGGCGUCCAUGGCGCUCAUCGUCAUGCUCGUGAACCCGAACCUGUACCGGCCGGGCAUACGGUGCUACGCGCUCUACGUGUGCAUGGUGGUCGCUCUGUUCGGCCUGAUGGGCGCCUACGCCGCCGGGUGCGCCCGGCAGCUGCGCACGUCCAUCUACGUCUUCGUGCUCGUCGGCGCGGUCGUCGCCUUCAUAGUCGUGCAGCUGCUCGUGUUCUUCAAGUUCUUCGAAAGCUGCGCCACCCCCGACGGAGAAAACGGCUCCUCCUCCGGGUCAAGCGCCGCCGCCGGCAGCAGCAGCAAGGCAAACACGCCGUCUUCCUCCUCUAGGCCACGACGAGGUAGCUCACCCAAGCCCAGGCCCAGCACGGAGGCGACUUCCAGGCGGCGGAAGUACCUGAUGCUGCUGGCAAUCCUGGCGGCAAGCGUCACCUACCAGGCCGGCCUGAAGCCGCCGGGCGGCGUGUCGGAGCGAUGGGCCACCGCGGGGAACUCGUUGCUGCGCAGGAGCGACCUGGCCCGGUUCCGGGCCUUCUUCUACUGCAACUCCACCUCCUUCGUGGCGUCGGUGGUGGUCAUCGUGCUGCUGCUGCAGGAGUCCCUGCAGGACCACGCCCUGCUGCUCUACGCCAUGAACACGGCGAUCGUGCUGGACCUGCUGGGCCUCCUGGGCGCCUACGCCGCCGGGAGCAGCCGGGAGUGGGACACGUCCGGGUACGUCAUCGCGCUGGCCGCCACCGUGCUCGCCUACGUCGGCAUCCACCUCGUGCUAUGGAUGCUCGGCGGCCGGAGAGGCCGAGGGAGAGUGGCCAGUGUCCCGCAGCAGCUGCUGCCCGCUGUGCCGAAAGACACAAGGAGAUGUUCUUCCUCCCCGUGUUGA
rnacentral:rRNA from 1 species